rnacentral:rRNA from 1 species
GACGAACGCUGGCGGCGUGCUUAACACAUGCAAGUCGAACGGAAAGGCCCUGCUUUUGUGGGGUGCUCGAGUGGCGAACGGGUGAGUAACACGUGAGUAACCUGCCCUUGACUUUGGGAUAACUUCAGGAAACUGGGGCUGAUACCGGAUAGGAGCUCCUGCUGCAUGGUGGGGGUUGGAAAGUUUCGGCGGUUGGGGAUGGACUCGCGGCUUAUCAGCUUGUUGGUGGGGUAGUGGCUUACCAAGGCUUUGACGGGUAGCCGGCCUGAGAGGGUGACCGGCCACAUUGGGACUGAGAUACGGCCCAGACUCCUACGGGAGGCAGCAGUGGGGAAUAUUGCACAAUGGGCGGAAGCCUGAUGCAGCAACGCCGCGUGCGGGAUGACGGCCUUCGGGUUGUAAACCGCUUUCGCCUGUGACGAAGCGUGAGUGACGGUAAUGGGUAAAGAAGCACCGGCUAACUACGU